AUUGAACGCUGGCGGCAGGCCUAACACAUGCAAGUCGAGCGGAGCGGCGGACGGGUGCGUAAUGCCUAGGAAUCUGCCUGGUAGUGGCGGAUCACGUCCGGAAACGGGCGCUAAUACCGCAUACUAUCAGAUGAGCCUAGGUCGGAUUAGCUAGUUGGUGGGGUAAAGGCCUACCAAGGCGACGAUCCGUAACUGGUCUGAGAGGAUGAUCAGUCACACUGUAACUGAGAUACGGUCCAGACUCAUACGGGAGGCAGCAGUGGGGAAUAUUGGACAAUGGGCGAAAGCCUGAUCCAGCCAUGCCGCGUGUAUGAAGAAGGCCUUAGGGUUGUAAAGUACUUUCAGCGGGGAGGCGUUACCCGCAGAAGAAGCACCGGCUAACUCCGUGCCAGCAGCCGCGGUAAUAC
rnacentral:rRNA from 1 species